AGCAGCAGGACCAAGAGAAUCACACAACCCGUCAAACUACCCCCUAUUUCACAACCCCACUAUAUAAAGUCCUCAAUUCACCCUAAAGAUAUUUUUCAUGCCUUUCUCUCUCUACACCAUUCCUCUCCCUUCUCUCUCUCUCUCCUUCCAUUUCUAGAAUCGAACUCGUGUUACAGGCACGUAUUCAUGUCUUUCAUCUCCAUUUUGUGCAUCAAAUACCACAGUAAUCACUCACUAUUCUUCGGUAGUUCUCUCAUCUCUCGGAUCCUCUUUGAAUCGAGUUGUACGAUCAAUUUUUUCCGGUGCCGUUUGCUAAAGAUCAAAAGGUUUUGGAAGACAUGACAUUUCAUCACGACUCAGCUUGUGGACAAACCGUCGCUUAUUUUCUCAGAACUUAUUUAUGAUCACAAGUUCAUAAUAGAUGUUGUAUGCAACUACACUUGCAGCGUUGUGGAAAUGCCCUUGCUUCGAAUUUCAGGUUUACCAUUGGAAUCCUUGUGAUCCAGAAGUAAGCUUGUUUAAGAAGCACUUACUGUUUUCGGCAGAAAAGAAUGUUUGUGGAACAUGCUCCAAAAAAUUAUCUGUUACUUGAGCGCGAGUGUCUUUUGGAAACAGCCUAUCUAUCUCCAUGAGGUAGAGAUAACUUCUGCGUACAGUCUACCGACCCGGACCUCACAUUUGGGAUUGCACUAGUUCGACACUGGUGUGAAAUGAAAUUAAUAUGUCCCUUUCUAAAGACUAUUGCCCGCAAAGCAUAUUGAUGCAACAAUGCGGAUUCUCUUUUGUCUCUUCACUUUUGUCCCUAUUACCCUGCUUCCGUCUCCUAAUUCUAUUUUCCUUGGGAACACAGUUUGACCUUUCCAGUAAAGUUGUUUGACCCAACAUAUGGCUAGACCGACCAUUGGGACAGACAAGUGUUGAGUAUGGCAGAAAGGCAGGGCAAUGAGGAAUCGUUGUACCAAAUUCAAGCCAAUUGAUUGAACUUGGGAGUGAUAGCGCACAAAACCUUUACAAAGUGAAUGGUACUGUCUUUAAGGUCAUUGCUGAACCAACUAAGUGAGCCUUUGAUUGAACGCAACUACAAGAAACAAAAUGAUGUGUGGAUCAACUUGCAAAACAAUAUGGAUAGAGGAUGCAUGAUAAUAUAAACACAUUUUACUGUUUCUCCUUUGUUUGUCUUAGCUUUCAAGGCACAGAAGCUAGUAAUUACUUUCUAUCGAAGCACUAUGGUUUGCUAUGAAGUUUAAUCACAGUCUCUGUAGUA